rfam:Ictidomys tridecemlineatus contig065159, whole genome shotgun sequence.
AGGGUUGUAGCUCAAUGGUAGAGCACUUGCCUACCACGUGUGAGGCACUGGGUUCAAUUCUCAGCACCACAU